rnacentral:rRNA from 1 species
GUGAGGAAUAUUGGUCAAUGGGCGAGAGCCUGAACCAGCCAAGUCGCGUGAAGGAUGAAGGUUUUAUGAAUUGUAAACUUCUUUUGCAGGGGAAUAAAGUACGGUACGUGUACCGUUUUGUAUGUACUCUGCGAAUAAGGAUCGGCUAACUCCGUGCCAGCAGCCGCGGUAAUACGGAGGAUCCAAGCGUUAUCCGGAUUUAUUGGGUUUAAAGGGUGCGCAGGCGGGUUGAUAAGUCAGCGGUGAAAGUUUGCAGCUUAACUGUAAAAUUGCCGUUGAAACUGUCGGACUUGAGUGUAAAUGAGGUAGGCGGAAUGCGUGGUGUAGCGGUGAAAUGCAUAGAUAUCACGCAGAACUCCGAUUGCGAAGGCAGCUUACUAAGCUACAACUGACACUGAAGCACGAAAGCGUGGGGAUCAAACAGGAUUAGAAACCCCGGUAGUCC